rnacentral:rRNA from 1 species
UACGAAGGGGGCUAGCGUUGUUCGGAAUUACUGGGCGUAAAGCGCGCGCAGGCGGUCUUCCAAGUCAGUGGUGAAAAGCCCGGGAGCUCAACUCCGGAACUGCCAUUGAAACUGUUAGACUUGAGGAUGAGAGAGGUGAGUGGAAUUCCCAGUGUAGAGGUGAAAUUCGUAGAUAUUGGGAAGAACACCGGUGGCGAAGGCGGCGACCUGGGUAGAUACGUGACGCUGAGGUGCGAAAGCGUGGGAGCAACA